rnacentral:rRNA from 1 species
UAACCUGCCCAAGAGAUCGGGAUAACACCUGGAAACAGAUGCUAAUACCGGAUAACAACAGAUGAUGCCUAUCAACUGUUUAAAAGAUGGUUCUGCUAUCACUCUUGGAUGGACCUGCGGUGCAUUAGCUAGUUGGUAGGGUAACGGCCUACCAAGGCGAUGAUGCAUAGCCGAGUUGAGAGACUGAUCGGCCACAUUGGGACUGAGACACGGCCCAAACACCUACGGGAGGCAGCAGAG